rnacentral:rRNA from 1 species
UCAAAGAUUAAGCCAUGCAUGUGUAAGUAUAAACAAAUUAUAUUGUGAAACUGCGAAUGGCUCAUUAAAUCAGUUAUAAUUUAUUUGAUAAUGACAUUUACUAUAUGGAUAGCCGUAGUAAUUCUAGAGCUAAUACAUGGGUAUAAGUCAAACUAGCAAUGGAAUGACUGUAUUUAUUAGAUCGAAAACCAAACCAUUAGGAAGUUUACUUUUUAAUGGAUGUGGUGAAUCAUAAUAAGUUUGUCGAAUCGUGAAUUUAUUUGCGAUGUGUCAUUGAAAUUUCUGCCCUAUCAACUUUUGGCGGUAGGAUAGAGGCCUACGGUGGUUUUGACGGGUAACGGGGAAUUAGGGUUCGAUUCCGGAGAGGGAGCCUGAGAAACGGCUACCACUUCUAAGGAAGGCAGCAGGCGCGCAAAUUACCCAAUCCCAAUGAUAUUGGGGAGGUAGUGACAAAAAAUACUGAUUCGUUGUACAAAAGUGCGAUGAAAUUGGAAUGGAAUGGAUAUAACACGUCCAAAGAGAAACAAAUAGAGGGCAAGUCUGGUGCCAGCAGCCGCGGUAAUUCCAGCUCUAAUAGUGUAUACUAAAAUUGCUGCAGUUAAAAAGCUCGUAGUUGGAUUUGUGAUACUAGAUAAUUCUAUUAGUUUUAGUUCGGUUGAUCUAAAAAAUCGAGCUUACAUGGCUAGUAGAUAUGUAGAAUCAAAUGAAUUUUUCGAAGGGGUGUGCUCCACUUAAUUGUGGUUGCAUGUCUACUCGGAGUAUUUACUUUGAAGAAAAUGGAGUGUUCAAAGCAGGUAAAUAAAAUAUGCAACUGAACAGAUUAGCAUGGAAUAAUAAAAUAGGACACGAAGGUUGUUUUCCUUUGGGAAAUGACCAUCCUUUGUUUUGUAAAAGGAGCAAGGGAUCACUAUUUUGUUGGUUUUGUGGUGUAUGUGUAAUGAUUAAUAGGGACAGUUGGGGACAUUGGUAUUGCAUCGUCAGAGGUGAAAUUCUUGGAUUGAUGCAAGACGAACGAGUGCGAAAGCAUUUGUCAAGGAUGUUUUCAUUAAUCAAGAACGAAAGUUAGGGGAUCGAAGGCGAUCAGAAACCGCCCUAGUCUUAACUAUAAACUAUGCCAACUAGGUAUUGUCGGGUAUAUGGGAUGUCUUAGGAUGUCUCUGUUAUGCUAGAUUUACGUUUGGGUAUUACCCUGGCGUAAAUUGCCUCGCCAGCACCUGUGGAGAAAUCACAAGUCUUUGGGUUCUGGGGGGAGUAUGGUCACAAGGCUGAAACUUAAAGAAAUUGACGGAAGGGCACCACCAGGUGUGGAGCCUGCGGCUUAAUUUGACUCAACACGGGGAAACUUACCAGGUCCAGACAGCGGAAGGAUUGACAGAUUGAUAGUUUUUUCUUGAUUCGGUGGGUGGUGGUGCAUGGUCGUUCUUAGUUGGUGGAGCGAUUUGUCUGCUUAAUUGCGAUAACGAACGAGACCUCAACCUGCUAACUAAGCUUUUCGGUAGUUUUAUGCUACUGGUUUUUUAUGAAGCUGCUUAGAGGGACAACCACUUUUUAAGUGGGGGAAGCAUGAGGCAAUAACAGGUCUGUGAUGCCCUUAGAUGUCCUGGGCCGCACGCGCGCUACACUGAUUAAAUCAACAAGUUUGGAUACAAGAAUUCUUUCGGGAAUUCUUUUCUCCUUAUCCGAAAGGAUUGGGUAAUCUUUUGAAUUUUAAUCGUGCUGGGGAUUGAUUUUUGUAAUUAUGGAUCAUGAACUAGGAAUACCUAGUAAGUGCAAUUCAUCAGAUUGCGCUGAUUACGUCCCUGCCCUUUGUACACACCGCCCGUCGCUCCUACCGAUUGAAUGAUCAGAUGAAAUUCUCGGAUUGCGUCAAGGGGAGUCAAAUCUCUUUGAAUACAAAAAGAGAAGUAAAUCUUAUUAUUUAGA